rnacentral:rRNA from 1 species
AGCUCCACUAGCGUAUAUUAAAGUUGCUGCAGUUAAAAAGCUCGUAGUCGGAUCUCGGGAUCGUGUCGGUGAUUUGGUUGCUUCUCCUGCGUUUCGGCGUUGGGGGUUGUGGCCGGUCAUCGGCCCUGCCGGCGAGGUCCCUACCUUUGGUGGGGUUCCACCUCGCUCGUGCAGCCCGCCGUUGCGAUUUGGCGGGGGGCCCUUAUUGGAUGCCCGUCUCGAUUGGUGACCAGUUUACCUUGAACAAAUCGGAGUGCUCAAAGCAUGCUCUUUAUCGCUCGAACGGUAGCGCAUGGAAUAAUGGAAGAGGACUUGCUUCCGCUUCUGUUGGUCUCACGGGAGCAGGUAAUGAUCAAGAGGGACGGAUGGGGGCAGAGGUAUGUCUCGGCGAGAGGUGAAAUUCUUGGACCCUAGACAGACCCUCGAGAGCGAAAGCAUCUGCCAAAGAUGUUUCCA